AUUGAACGCUGGCGGCAUGCUUUACACAUGCAAGUCGAACGGUAACAGGUCUUCGGAUGCUGACGAGUGGCGAACGGGUCAGUAAUACAUCGGAACGUGCCCGAGAGUGGGGGAUAACGAGGCGAAAGCUUUGCUAAUACCGCAUACGAUCUCAGGAUGAAAGCAGGGGACCGCAAGGCCUUGCGCUCACGGAGCGGCCGAUGGCAGAUUAGGUAGUUGGUGGGAUAAAAGCUUACCAAGCCGACGAUCUGUAGCUGGUCUGAGAGGACGACCAGCCACACUGGGACUGAGACACGGCCCAGACUCCUACGGGAGGCAGAAGUGGGGAAUUUUGGACAAUGGGCGCAAGCCUGAUCCAGCCAUGCCGCGUGCAGGAUGAAGGCCUUCGGGUUGUAAACUGCUUUUGUACGGAACGAAAAGACUCUGGUUAAUACCUGGGGUCCAUGACGGUACCGUAAGAAUAAGCACCGGCUAACUACGUGCCAGCCGCCGCGGUAACAC
rnacentral:rRNA from 1 species